rnacentral:rRNA from 1 species
AGCGAACGCUGGCGGCAGGCCUAACACAUGCAAGUCGAACGAACCUUUCGGGGUUAUUCGCCUACGGCUGUGUCACACGUCGGAACAUUCCUUUAUGUUCGGACUAACUCAGAGAAACUUGUACUAAUACCGAAUGUGCCCUUCGACCGAAAGAUUUAUCGCCUUUAGUGCGGCCAGCGUCUGAUUAGCUAUUUGUUUGAGGUAAGGGCUCAUCAAGGCGGCGAUCGGUAGCUGGUCUGAGAGGAUGAUCAGCCACCUUGGGAGUGAGACACGGCCCAAAAUCCUACGGGAGGGGGCAGAGGGGAAUCUUGCGAAAUGGGCGAAAGCCUGACGCAGCCAUGACGCGUGAAUGAUGAAGGUCUGAGGAUUGUAAAAUUCUUUCACCGGGGACGAUACUGACGGUACCCGGAGAAGAAGCCCCGGCUAACUUCGUG